CUACGGGGUGCUGCAGUGAGGAAUAUUGCACAAUGGGGGGAACCCUGAUGCAGCAACGCCGCGUGGAGGAUGACGCAUUUCGGUGUGUAAACUCCUUUUAUAUGUCAAGAAAAUGACGGUAGCAUAUGAAUAAGCACCGGCUAACUCCGUGCCAGCAGCCGCAGUAAUACGGAGGGUGCAAGCGUUACUCGGAAUCACUGGGCGUAAAGGACGCGUAGGCGGGUUGGAAAGUCAGGUGUGAAAUCCUACAGCUUAACUGUAGAACUGCACUUGGAACUUCUAAUCUAGAGUAUGGGAGGGGGAGAUGGAAUUAGUGGUGUAGGGGUAAAAUCCGUAGAUAUCACUAGGAAUACCUAAAGCGAAGGCGAUCUCCUGGAACAUUACUGACGCUAAGGCGUGAAAGCGUGGGGAGCAAACAGGAUUAGAUACCCUAGUAGUC
rnacentral:rRNA from 1 species